CAAUGCCGCGUGUGUGAAGAAGGCCCUCGGGUUGUAAAGCACUUUCAGUGGGGAAGAAAGCCUUCCGGCCAAUACCCGGGAGGAAGGACAUCACCCACAGAAGAAGCACCGGCUAACUCCGUGCCAGCAGCCGCGGUAAUACGGAGGGUGCGAGCGUUAAUCGGAAUUACUGGGCGUAAAGCGCGCGUAGGUGGCUUGAUAAGCCGGUUGUGAAAGCCCCGGGCUCAACCUGGGAACGGCAUCCGGAACUGUCAGGCUAGAGUGCAGGAGAGGAAGGUAGAAUUCCCGGUGUAGCGGUGAAAUGCGUAGAGAUCGGGAGGAAUACCAGUGGCGAAGGCGGCCUUCUGGACUGACACUGACACUGAGGUGCGAAAGCGUGGGUAGCAAACAGGAUUAGAUACCCUGGUAGUCCACGCCGUAAACGAUGUCGACUAGCCGUUGGGUCCUUCGCGGACUUUGUGGCGCAGUUAACGCGAUAAGUCGACCGCCUGGGGAGU
rnacentral:rRNA from 1 species